rnacentral:rRNA from 1 species
CCCUUAGAUGUUCUGGGCCGCACGCGCGCUACACUGAUGCAUUCAACGAGUCUAAAACCUGCUCUGAUAGGGGUGGGUAAUCUUUUGAAUGUGCAUCGUGAUUGGGAUAGAUGAUUGCAAUUUUUCAUCUUCAACGAGGAAUGCCUAGUAAACGCAAGUCAUCAGCUUGCAUUGAUUACGUCUCUGCCCUUUGUACACACCGCCCGUCGCUCCUACCGAUUGAAUGAUCCGAUGAAUAUCAUGGAUUGAGGAUGCAAGUAGGUUCGCCUAUCUUCAUCUUCGAGAAGUGAAGUAAAUCUUAUCAUUUAGAGGAAGGAGAAGUCGUAACA